rnacentral:rRNA from 1 species
GUGAACGCUGGCGGUAGGCCUAACACAUGCAAGUCGCACGGCAGCGCAGUAAGAGCUUGCUCUUACGGGUGGCGAGUGGCGGACGGGUGAGGAAUACAUCGGAAUCUACUUUUUCGUGGGGGAUAACGUAGGGAAACUUACGCUAAUACCGCAUACGACCUACGGGUGAAAGCAGGGGAUCUUCGGACCUUGCGCGAUUGAAUGAGCCGAUGUCGGAUUAGCUAGUUGGCGGGGUAAAGGCCCACCAAGGCGACGAUCCGUAGCUGGUCUGAGAGGAUGAUCAGCCACACUGGAACUGAGACACGGUCCAGACUCCUACGGGAGGCAGCAGUGGGGAAUAUUGGACAAUGGGCGCAAGCCUGAUCCAGCCAUACCGCGUGGGUGAAGAAGGCCUUCGGGUUGUAAAGCCCUUUUGUUGGGAAAGAAAAGCAGCAGGUUAAUACCCCGCUGUUCUGACGGUACCCAAAGAAUAAGCACCGGCUAACUUCGUG